rnacentral:rRNA from 1 species
AUUGAACGCUGGCGGCGUGCUUAACACAUGCAAGUCGAUCGGUAACAGGUGUAGCAAUACAUGCUGACGAGAGGCGGACGGGUGAGUAAUGCUUGGGAAUCUGCCUAUUAGUGGGGGACAACCCGGGGAAACUCGGGCUAAUACCGCAUACGCUCUACGGAGGAAAGCCGGGGACCGCAAGGCCUGGCGCUAAUAGAUGAGCCCAAGUCGGAUUAGCUAGUUGGUAGGGUAACGGCCUACCAAGGCGACAAUCCGUAGCUGGUCUGAGAGGACGACCAGCCACACCGGAACUGAGACACGGUCCGGGACUCCUACGGGAGGCAGCAGUGGGGAAUAUUGGACAAUGGGGGCAACCCUGAUCCAGCGACGCCNCGUGGGUGAAGAAGGCCUGCGGGUUGUAAAGCCC